AGGUCAAGCUACAAAGGGCUCACGGUGGAUACCUAGGCACGCAGAGGCGAAGAAGGACGUGGCUACCGACGAUACGCUCCGGGGAGCAGGAAGCAUGCAUUGAGCCGGAGAUUUCCGAAUGGGGCAACCCAGGAUACGGCCAUCUGAAUCUAUAGGAUGGUGCGAGCGAACGCAGCGAACUGAAACAUCUUAGUAGCUGUAGGAAGAGAAAGAAACCCUCGAUUCCCCUAGUAGCGGCGAGCGAAGCGGGAAGAGCCUAAACCAAUGAUUUAUAUCGUUGGGGUUGUGGGACAGCGACAUGGUAUUUGGCGGCUAGACGAAGCAUUUGAGAGAUGCACCAGAGAAGGUGAGAGUCCUGUAGUCGAAAGCUUAAGAAACCUAGCUGAAUCCCGAGUAGCACGGGUCACGAGAAAUCCCGUGUGAAUCCGCGAGGACCACCUCGUAAGGCUAAAUACUCCUGCGUGACCGAUAGUGAACAGUACCGCGAGGGAAAGGUGAAAAGAACCCCGGGAGGGGAGUGAAAUAGAACAUGAAACCGUGAGCUUACAAGCAGUCAGAGCUCGAUUAAACGAGUGAUGGCGUGCCUGUUGAAGAAUGAGCCGGCGACUUAUAGGCACUGGCAGGUUAAGGCGGGAAUGCCGAAGCCAGAGGGAAACCGAGUCUGAAUAGGGCGUUAUGUCAGUGUUUAUAGACCCGAACCCGGGUGAUCUAACCAUGUCCAGGCUGAAGCUUAGGUGACACUAAGUGGAGGGCCGAACCGACUGGCGUUGAAAAGCCAGCGGAUGAGGUGUGGUUAGGGGUGAAAUGCCAAUCGAACCCGGAGCUAGCUGGUUCUCCCCGAAAUGUGUUGAGGCGCAGCGGUCGCGACUAUAGCUGGGGGGUAAAGCACUGAUUCGGUGCGGGCUGCGAGAGCGGUACCAAAUCGAGUCAAACUCUGAAUACCCAGUGAACACGCGGCCAGUGAGACGGUGGGGGAUAAGCUUCAUCGUCAAGAGGGAAACAGCCCAGACCACCAGCUAAGGUCCCCAAAUGAACACUAAGUGGCAAAGGAGGUGAGAGUGCAUAGACAACCAGGAGGUUUGCCUAGAAGCAGCCAUCCUUGAAAGAGUGCGUAAUAGCUCACUGGUCAAGCGCUCUUGCGCCAAAAAAUGAACGGGACUAAGUGUUCUACCGAAGCUGUGGACUUACAUUGUUAAGUGGUAGGGGAGCGUUCUACAUGCAUCGAAGCAUUAGCGAAAGCAGGUGUGGAGUGUGUAGAAGUGAGAAUGUCGGCUUGAGUAGCGAAAACGUGUGUGAGAAUCACACGCCCCGAAACCCUAAGGGUUCCUCCGGAAGGCUCGUCCACGGAGGGUUAGUCGGGACCUAAGGCGAGGCCGAAAGGCGUAGUCGAUGGACACAGGGUUAAUAUUCCCUGACUACUGAUUGGGAGCGUUGAGGGGACGCAUGACAACUAGCCAUACCCUGAAUGGAUUGGGAGGGGGUUACGACCCCUGCAUGGUGAACGAUAGUGCCAAGAAAAGCCAAAAACGUGUUGAGCAAUCAGUACCCGUACCCGAAACCGACACAGGUAGGGGAGGUUGAGAAUACCAAGGGGCGCGAGGUAACUCUCUCUAAGGAACUCGGCAAAAUGGCCCCGUAACUUCGGGAGAAGGGGUGCCCCCCUGCGAGGGGGGGGGGCCGCAGUGAAGAGUCCCAGGCGACUGUUUACCAAAAACACAGGUCUCUGCAAACUCGUAAGAGGACGUAUAGGGGCUGACGCCUGCCCAGUGCCGGAAGGUUAAGGAAGUUGGUCAGUCUUCGGAUGAAGCUAACGACUGAAGCCCCGGUGAACGGCGGCCGUAACUAUAACGGUCCUAAGGUAGCGAAAUUCCUUGUCGGGUAAGUUCCGACCCGCACGAAAGGCGUAACGAUCUGGGAGCUGUCUCGGAGAGAGGCUCGGCGAAAUAGGAUUGUCUGUGAAGAUACGGACUACCUGCACCUGGACAGAAAGACCCUAUGAAGCUUUACUGUAGCCUGGAAUUGGGUUCGGGCUUUGACUGCGCAGGAUAGGUGGGAGACUGUGAGCGAUUCCUUGUGGGGAAUCGUGAGUCACUGGUGAGAUACCACUCUGUCAAGGCUAGAAUUCUAACCUGCAGCCGUUAGCCGGCGCGGGAACAGUUUCAGGUGGGCAGUUUGACUGGGGCGGUCGCCUCCUAAAUGGUAACGGAGGCGCGCAAAGGUUCCCUCAGGCUGGUUGGAAAUCAGCCAUUGAGUGUAAAGGCAUAAGGGAGCUUGACUGCAAGACUGACAAGUCGAGCAGGGACGAAAGUCGGCCUUAGUGAUCCGACGGUUCUGAGUGGAAGGGCCGUCGCUCAACGGAUAAAAGUUACUCUAGGGAUAACAGGCUGAUCUCCCCCAAGAGUUCACAUCGACGGGGAGGUUUGGCACCUCGAUGUCGGCUCGUCGCAACCUGGGGCUGGAGUAGGUCCCAAGGGUUGGGCUGUUCGCCCAUUAAAGCGGCACGCGAGCUGGGUUCAGAACGUCGUGAGACAGUUCGGUCCAUAUCCGGUGUAGGCGUAGGAGUAUUGAGGGGAGUCCUUCUUAGUACGAGAGGACCGGAAGGAACGCACCGCUGGUGUACCUGUUAUCGUGCCAACGGUAAACGCAGGGUAGCUAUGUGCGGAGUGGAUAACCGCUGAAAGCAUCUAAGUGGGAAGCCCACCCCAAGAUGAGUACUCCCAUGGGGUAACCCAGUAAGGUCACGGGAAGACCACCCGUUAAUAGGUGCUAUGUGGAAGCGUGGCAACAUGUGAAGCAGAGGCAUACUAACAGACCGAGGGCUUGUCCUU
rnacentral:rRNA from 1 species